rnacentral:rRNA from 1 species
AUUGAACGCUGGCGGCAGGCUUAACACAUGCAAGUCGAGCGGAGCGAGGGUGCUUGCACCUUAGCUUAGCGGCGGACGGGUGAGUAAUGCUUAGGAAUCUGCCUAUUAGUGGGGGACAACAUUCCGAAAGGAAUGCUAAUACCGCAUACGCCCUACGGGGGAAAGCAGGGGAUCUUCGGACCUUGCGCUAAUAGAUGAGCCUAAGUCGGAUUAGCUAGUUGGUGGGGUAAAGGCCUACCAAGGCGACGAUCUGUAGCGGGUCUGAGAGGAUGAUCCGCCACACUGGGACUGAGACACGGCCCAGACUCCUACGGGAGGCAGCAGUGGGGAAUAUUGGACAAUGGGCGGAAGCCUGAUCCAGCCAUGCCGCGUGUGUGAAGAAGGCCUUUUGGUUGUAAAGCACUUUAAGCGAGGAGGAGGCUACUAGUAUUAAUACUACUGGAUAGUGGACGUUACUCGCAGAAUAAGCACCGGCUAGCUCUGUGCCAGCAGCCGCAGUAAAAC